rnacentral:rRNA from 1 species
AGUGAACGCUGGCGGUAGGCCUAACACAUGCAAGUCGAACGGCAGCACAGUAAGAGCUUGCUCUUACGGGUGGCGAGUGGCGGACGGGUGAGGAAUACAUCGGAAUCUACUUUUUCGUGGGGGAUAACGUAGGGAAACUUACGCUAAUACCGCAUACGACCUACGGGUGAAAGCAGGGGAUCUUCGGACCUUGCGCGAUUGAAUGAGCCGAUGUCGGAUUAGCUAGUUGGCGGGGUAAAGGCCCACCAAGGUGACGAUCCGUAGCUGGUCUGAGAGGAUGAUCAGCCACACUGGAACUGAGACACGGUCCAGACUCCUACGGGAGGCAGCAGUGGGGAAUAUUGGGCAAUGGGCGCAAGCCUGAUCCAGCCAUACCGCGUGGGUGAAGAAGGCCUUCGGGUUGUAAAGCCCUUUUGUUGGGAAAGAAAAGCAGCAGGUUAAUACCCCGCUGUUCUGACGGUACCCAAAGAAUAAGCACCGGCUAACUUCGUG